rnacentral:rRNA from 1 species
UGGGGGAUAUUGCACAAUGGGCGAAAGCCUGAUGCAGCGACGCCGCGUGGGGGAUGAAGGCCUUCGGGUUGUAAACUUCUUUUGCUCUGAACAAGGCGCACCAUGGGGUGUGUUGAGUGUAGGGGUUGAUUAGCGCCGGCUAACUACGUGCCAGCAGCCGCGGUAAUACGUAGGGCGCGAGCGUUGUCCGGAAUUAUUGGGCGUAAAGGGCUUGUAGGUGGCUGGUUGCGUCUGUCGUGAAAGCUCAUGGCUUAACUGUGGGUUUGCGGUGGGUACGGGCUGGCUUGAGUGCAGUAGGGGAGGCUGGAAUUCCUGGUGUAGCGGUGGAAUGCGCAGUUAUCAGGAGGAAUAACAGCGGCGAAGGCGGGUCUCUGGGCUGUUACUGACACUGAGGAGCGAAAGCAUGGGGAGCGAACAGG